rnacentral:lncRNA from 1 species
AUGCUGUGCACAGUUAACGUUGAGAUCAUGAAUGCAUCCACGCAGACGGGAAGGAGACAGAGAAGACUGAGAGACUCAGUGGUCACCACUUCUGUGCAUCUGCUUCUUCACGGGUUACAGUUGUCCAUAAGAAAAAUGACAAGCACCUGCAUGAAGCCCGUCCUAUCACAUCUGAAAAGGAGGAUGAGCGAGUCCCUGAGAGGCGACAUCGUUCUCAGCAGUUUUUCUCUGACCCCUACUCAGAUCUUCAUCACUGCUGUCACUCACCUGAGCAUUCAGAGUCCACAAACUGAUGAAAGGUGAGGAAGGCUUAGAAUAAUGCAUUUCCUUUUUUCCAGAUUUCUCCCUUGCUCCUCCUGAAUUGUAUCCAUCUCUGCAAGGAAAUACAUUGCUUUUGCUUAUUAAAUAUUUGGUCUAUUGAAGCCAGCCUAUCCAAUAGUCAUUGAUAUGACAAUAUUACAUAUACAGGUGCAACUGUUCAUUUGAAGAUUAAGGGACCACCACAAAUAGGUGUCGUGGAACUAUUGUUACACUGUGUAUCCAGGCUUGAGCUCGUCACUGUAAUGCCAUAGUCCGUGGUCCUCACCCUACUGCCAAGCCAAUUCUCAUUUCCUCGUCUGGUCCCCAUCAACUUCAUUUUCUUUUAUAUUUUGGUUCACUUAUUUCAUAUAGAUUUUCCCAUUUCUCUACUGCUUUUGUGUGUUGGUUUGUUUGCCAUGGUUUGCAGAUGAGUUGAGUUUGUCUCCCAAGGGUUUGUAAGCUGAGAGCUUGGUCCUCGUGCAACAGUGUUAACAGGUGUGAUCUUCUAGGUCAGAGGUCCUUAGGGGCAUGUGCUCAGAAAGGAGUAAAAAAAUUCUCAUGGGGCUGCUGAGUUAGUUCUUGUGAGAGGACUGUUACAUAGGAAAAGCCUGGCCACCUUGCAGACUCUUUGUGCCCCUGCCUGGUGGUGGGAUUUGUCUGUUUCUGUCUCUAUCAACUCCUGCCAUUGUAGUGCCCUCCUCUAUGACAAGUAAGUCAAGGGAGCCCUCAUGGGAGCAGGUGUCAUGCUUUUUUGCCAACUCCAAAACUGUGAGCUAAAUAAACCUCUUCUCUUUUUAAGUACCCA